rnacentral:tRNA from 1 species
GCGAGAGUGGCGAAACUGGUAGACGCACUGGACUUAGGAUCCAGCCCGCCUUAGACGGAUGGGGGUUCGAGUCCCCCCUCUCGCACCA